AACGAACGCUGGCGGCAUGCCUAACACAUGCAAGUCGAACGAAGUCCUUCGGGGCUUUGUGGCGCACGGGUGCGUAACGCGUGGGAAUCUGCCCCUUGCUUCGGAAUAACAGUUAGAAAUGACUGCUAAUACCGGAUGAUGUCGCAAGACCAAAGAUUUAUCGGCAAGGGAUGAGCCCGCGUAGGAUUAGGUAGUUGGUGGGGUAAAGGCCUACCAAGCCGACGAUCCUUAGCUGGUCUGAGAGGAUGAUCAGCCACACUGGGACUGAGACACGGCCCAGACUCCUACGGGAGGCAGCAGUGGGGAAUAUUGGACAAUGGACGCAAGUCUGAUCCAGCAAUGCCGCGUGAGUGAUGAAGGCCUUAGGGUUGUAAAGCUCUUUUACCCGGGAUGAUAAUGACAGUACCGGGAGAAUAAGCUCCGGCUAACUCCGUGCCAGCCGCCGCGGUAA
rnacentral:rRNA from 1 species